CCUGGGUUGUGCCUGAUGCAGGAAAGAAAACGGGCCAUCUUGGAGGCUUUGGCAUCCUGAGAGCCUGCCUGGGGGGACUGUCAAGUUGCCAAGGGCAAGGAGAGGGUAGCCAACUGCCUCCUCCACCUGGCUGCUCAGCCAGGUCUCCCUGCCUUCAAAGGACAUUUCUUUGGUCAGGAAUUGACAAGAAUGAGCCCAGAGUCAUCCACCCCAAGGGUGUGUGGCAACCAUCCCUUGCUCAACACCGAAGGCUGUAGAAUCAUAGUGGGGAAAGAAGCAACUUCUUCAGAAGCAGUUGUCUAAUGAGCACAGCUUGGAAAGAGCCUUGGUUCUUCUGGAUCAUCACUGGGGGGAUAUUUCGCAGAGCAAGAAACUUGCAUGCCCCGUCCAUCAUGUCCCAGCCCCGGCCCCAGGCCCAGCCCCGAUGGAUCUGCCCGGCCUCUCUCCUUCAGGAGGUGGGAAUGGUCUCUUCCAACUUGAAGAGGCCAUGAAGGUAAAGGAGAUGAGCAGCGUUGCUCUGGUACGCAGAGAAGCUUCCAGACACUCCUGGGUUGCACGAUAGAUUAAGUAAUUCUACUGAUGGGCACCAGCUCCAUGCCAGGACCCAGGGCUCCAAAGCCAUUUCCAGGAGGACACAUGAACCAAAAGUGCCGAUCAGUGGCUGUGUCUUCCCUCCAGAAGCCAGCACAGAGCUUGGGCGUGGGACUUAGCUGGAUUUCCUCUCUGCCUUUUGGGGUGAGAUACGGCUGAUGCCUUGAUGUGGAGGAGGAAGCAGCGGCAUCGAGCCCAUGCCCACAGUUGGCCUGAG
rnacentral:lncRNA from 1 species